rnacentral:rRNA from 1 species
AUUGAACGCUGGCGGCAGGCCUAACACAUGCAAGUCGAGCGGAUGAAUCGGGCUUGCUCCUGGAUUCAGCGGCGGACGGGUGAGUAAUGCCUAGGAAUCUGCCUGGUCGUGGGGGAUAACGUCCGAAAACGGGCGCUAAUACCGCAUCCGUCCUGAGGGCGAAAGUGGGGGAUCUUGGGACCUCACGCUAUCAGGUGAGGCUAGGUGGGAUUAGCUAGUUGGUGGGGUAACUGCCUAGAAAGGCGACGAACCUUAACUGGUAUGAGAGGAUGAUCAGUCACACUGGAACUGAGACAGGGUCCACACUCCGACGGGAGGCAGCAGUGGAGAAUAUUGGACGAUGGGCGAAAGGCUGAUACAGGCAUGCCGCGUGAGUGAAGAAGGUCUUCGGAUUGUAAAGCACUGUAAGUUGGGAGGAAGGACAGUAAGUUAAUACCUGGCUGUUUUGACGGUACCAACAGAAUAAGCUCCGGCUAACUUCGUG